GACAGAGGCCUCAAGCGUUAGGCGGAAUCACUGGGCUUAAAGCGUGUGUAGGCGGAUCGUUAAGUGUCUUGUGAAAUCCCACGGCUCACCCGUGGAACUGCUGGGCAUACUGGCGAUCUUGGGCCAACUAGGGGCAGCCGGAACAAGCGGUGGAGCGGUGAAAUGCGUAGAUAUCGCUUGGAACGCCGAAGGUGAAAAACAGGCUGCUGGGGUUGUGCCGACGCCGUGGAGACACGAAAGCCAGGGGAGCAAACGGG
rnacentral:rRNA from 1 species